CCCUUAGAGUUUGAUCCUGGCUCAGAACGAACGCUGGCGGCGUGGAUAAGACAUGCAAGUCGAGCGCUGAUUUUCCUGCAGCAAUGUAGGGAAGUCGGAGCGGCGCAAGGGUGCGUAACACGUGGAUCAUCUGCCCUGAAGUUCGGAAUAAUCCGGCGAAAGCCGGACUAAUGCCGGAUGUGGUUGAGAAACUAAAGCUGGCCGCAUGGCUGGCGCUUUUGGAUGAGUCCGCGGCCUAUCAGCUAGUUGGCGGGGUAACGGCCCACCAAGGCUAAGACGGGUAGCUGGUCUGAGAGGACGACCAGCCACACUGGAACUGAGACACGGUCCAGACACCUACGGGUGGCAGCAGUCGAGAAUUUUUCUCAAUGGGGGAAACCCUGAAGGAGCGACGCCGCGUGAGGGAUGAAGGGCUUCGGCCUGUAAACCUCUGUCAUUUGCGAACAAACUCCAUUUAAUAACACUGGAUGGAUUGAUAGUAGCGAAAGAGGAAGGGACGGCUAACUCUGUGCCAGCAGCCGCGGUAAUACAGAGGUCCCGAGCGUUGUUCGGAUUCACUGGGCGUAAAGGGUGCGCAGGUGGCCAUGCAAGUUCGAUGUGAAAGCCCCGGGCUUAACCCGGGAAUGGCAUUGAAAACU
rnacentral:rRNA from 1 species